rnacentral:rRNA from 1 species
AUGAACGCUAGCUACAGGCUUAACACAUGCAAGUCGAGGGGCAGCAUGGUCUUAGCUUGCUAAGGCCGAUGGCGACCGGCGCACGGGUGAGUAACACGUAUCCAACCUGCCGUCUACUCUUGGACAGCCUUCUGAAAGGAAGAUUAAUACAAGAUGGCAUCAUGAGUCCGCAUGUUCACAUGAUUAAAGGUAUUCCGGUAGACGAUGGGGAUGCGUUCCAUUAGAUAGUAGGCGGGGUAACGGCCCACCUAGUCUUCGAUGGAUAGGGGUUCUGAGAGGAAGGUCCCCCACAUUGGAACUGAGACACGGUCCAAACUCCUACGGGAGGCAGCAGUGAGGAAUAUUGGUCAAUGGGCGAGAGCCUGAACCAGCCAAGUAGCGUGAAGGAUGACUGCCCUAUGGGUUGUAAACUUCUUUUAUAAAGGAAUAAAGUCGGGUAUGGAUACCCGUUUGCAUGUACUUUAUGAAUAAGGAUCGGCUAACUCCGUGCCAGCAGCCGCGGUAAUACGGAGGAUUCGAGCGUUAUCCGGAUUUAUUGGGUUUAAAGGGAGCGUAGAUGGAUGUUUAAGUCAGUUGUGAAAGUUUGCGGCUCAACCGUAAAAUUGCAGUUGAUACUGGAUAUCUUGAGUGCAGUUGAGGCAGGCGGAAUUCGUGGUGUAGCGGUGAAAUGCUUAGAUAUCACGAAGAACUCCGAUUGCGAAGGCAGCCUGCUAAGCUGCAACUGACAUUGAGGCUCGAAAGUGUGGGUAUCAAACAGGAUUAGAUACCCUGGUAGUCCACACGGUAAACGAUGAAUACUCGCUGUUUGCGAUAUACUGCAAGCGGCCAAGCGAAAGCGUUAAGUAUUCCACCUGGGGAGUACGCCGGCAACGGUGAAACUCAAAGGAAUUGACGGGGGCCCGCACAAGCGGAGGAACAUGUGGUUUAAUUCGAUGAUACGCGAGGAACCUUACCCGGGCUUAAAUUGCAGAUGAAUUACGGUGAAAGCCGUAAGCCGCAAGGCAUCUGUGAAGGUGCUGCAUGGUUGUCGUCAGCUCGUGCCGUGAGGUGUCGGCUUAAGUGCCAUAACGAGCGCAACCCUUGUUGUCAGUUACUAACAGGUUCCGCUGAGGACUCUGACAAGACUGCCAUCGUAAGAUGUGAGGAAGGUGGGGAUGACGUCAAAUCAGCACGGCCCUUACGUCCGGGGCUACACACGUGUUACAAUGGGGGGUACAGAGGGCCGCUACCACGCGAGUGGAUGCCAAUCCCCAAAACCUCUCUCAGUUCGGACUGGAGUCUGCAACCCGACUCCACGAAGCUGGAUUCGCUAGUAAUCGCGCAUCAGCCACGGCGCGGUGAAUACGUUCCCGGGCCUUGUACACACCGCCCGUCAAGCCAUGGGAGCCGGGGGUACCUGAAGUGCGUAACCGCGAGGAGCGCCCUAGGGUAAAACUGGUGACUGGGGCU